AAAAUUAUACCUUCAGGGGUCAUUUCUAGAGUUCAUUCCUAGAGAAUUUUUCUGAUCUUUCAGAGUACCAGACCAUGAGGAAGAAGCCCAGUGUUCCCUCCUGAGUUUGAAGCCAGCUCUUCAUGUUGCUUUACUGCAACUGUCUUUUCCAUUGAUGACUGUUCUCUCUACACUCUGCAAGCUUGCCACACAAAAAAAGCAUGUUCUGA